rnacentral:rRNA from 1 species
AUUGAACGCUGGCGGCAGGCCUAACACAUGCAAGUCGAACGAGUGGCGGACGGGUGAGUAAUGUCUGGGAAACUGCCUGAUGGAGGGGGAUAACUACUGGAAACGGUAGCUAAUACCGCAUACCAUCGGAUGUGCCCAGAUGGGAUUAGCUAGUAGGUGGGGUAAAGGCUCACCUAGGCGACGAUCCCUAGCUGGUCUGAGAGGAUGACCAGCCAGUCGGGAACUGAUACACGGUCCAGACUCCAGCGGGAGGCAGCAGUGGGGAAUAUUGAAAAAUGGGGGCAAGCCUGAGGCAGCCAUGCCGGGUGUAGGAAGAAGGCCUUGGGGUUGUAAAUUACUUUCAGCGGGGAGGCGUUACCCGAAGAAGAAGCACCGGCUAACGCCGGGCCAGCAGCCGAGGUAAUAC